AGCACAACUUUACCAGUCUCCCCACCAGAUAAUAGCACAACUUUACCAGUCUCCCCACCAGAUAACAGCACAACAUUAUCUACAGACUCUAUUUCUCCAAAACCCAGCACAGCAAACAGCAGUACCACGACUGUACUUGUAAAUAUCAGUACAACUUCAGCACCCACAGCUUCUGACACAUCACCACCAAGCACAACAAGUACAAGCAGUGCGUUUGCAGUGUCUUCAACAACAGAACACAGUACAAGAAGCAGCACUACUGCAUCAUCAGAUGGGAGCACAAACUCAGCCUCCAUAAUGUCUGCUGCUACAGCAGCCAUGACAGUUGCAGUACUAUAUCUACGCAAUUAGAGGACCUCACAACUUCAGUGCCCACACUCUCCACAGCUACUAGCAAGGACAACACUGACAGACACCAGGACAACUCUGGAUACGAAUAGUGUCAGAUCUUCACCAGCAGGUGGGAGCAAAUCUGGAACUUCCAACAAAAACACUGAUUCCACCAUCACAUGGACUUCUGUACUUCAGUUCUGUAGUUAAAAUGUAUUUUUAUUUGCACCUUUUUUUCUACAGAUGCCCAUAUAGUGGCUAUUUACCCGAAAGCUUCUGUUUUAUCCCAGAAUGAGGAAAAUCCAACAAAUUAUUAGCAAAUAUAAUCAGUGAAAAAAACACAUUGAUGAUACACUUACUGGCCCAUAGGUAAGGUAGCCACCUACAGAUACAGCUUACCCUAAGGAUUCAGUGUGCCACAUGUAUGUUUAACAUUGAAACAUGAUUUAUAAAUAUAGUAUUUUAGUUUGUAUUCUAUUCACUAAAAAUCUAUGUAUGCAGGCUUUACUCCGCCCACACGUUAUUGUAGGACCAGUUUAUUAUGCAACUUAAUGUUAUACAAUAUGUAGGCUACUAGGUCCCCGCUCCAUCUCUCUCAAGGGGUCCUUGCUGACUUAAAAAAAAACCGUUGAAGACCCCUGGCCUAGAGUA